rnacentral:rRNA from 1 species
UGCCAGCAGCCGCGGUAAGACGAGGGAUCCUAGCGUUGUUCGGAAUCAUUGGGCGUAAAGCGGAUGUAGGUGGCUUUGUAAGUCGGAUGUGAAAGCCCAGGGCUCAACCCUGGAAGUGCAUUCGAUACUGCGAAGCUUGAAUGUCGGAGAGGUUAUUAGAAUACCUGGUGUAGUGGUGAAAUACGUAGAUAUCAGGUGGAAUACCGGAGGCGAAGGCGGAUAACCAGCCGAACAUUGACACUCAGAUCCGAAAGUGUGGGGAUCAAACAGGAUUAGAUACCCUGGUAGUCC